rnacentral:rRNA from 1 species
UACGUAGGGGGCAAGCGUUGUCCGGAUUUAUUGGGCGUAAAGAGCUCGUAGGUGGUUCGGUAAGUCGGAUGUGAAAUCCCCAGGCUCAACCUGGGAACUGCGUCUGAUACUGGAUGGCUUGAAUCCGGGAGAGGGAUGCAGAAUUCCAGGUGUAGCGGUGAAAUGCGUAGAUAUCUGGAGGAAUACCGGUGGCGAAGGCGGCAUCCUGGACCGGCAUUGACGCUGAGGAGCGAAAGCCAGGGGAGCAAACGGG